UCUUUUGAGAAACGUGCAAAGAAAAGCAGGAUUGCAUCAUAGAAAUUGUUUCAAGAUAUAUCAUACACUUAAAGAUUCCAAGAUACAACAAUAGUGCGAACAAAACUGGUAUUUAAGUGAAUUUCUGUCUUCCUUUGUUUAUUUAAAUUGUCUUAUUUU